UACAGAGGUCCCGAGCGUUGUUCGGAUUCAUUGGGCGUAAAGGGUGCGUAGGUGGCAGGGUAAGUUGGAUGUGAAAUCCCGGGGCUCAACCCCGGAACUGCAUUCAAUACUGCCCUGCUAGAGUACUGGAGAGGAGAUUGGAAUUCAUGGUGUAGCAGUGAAAUGCGUAGAUAUCAUGAGGAAGACCAGUGGCGAAGGCGGAUCUCUGGACAGUUACUGACACUGAGGCACGAAGGCCAGGGGAGCAAACGGG
rnacentral:rRNA from 1 species